ensembl:snRNA U6 U6 spliceosomal RNA
GUGCUCACUUGGCAGCACAUAUUCUAAAAUGGAAACCACACAAAGAAGAUUGGCAUGGCCCCAAUGAAAGGGUGACACACAAUUCUGCGUAACAUUCAUAUUUUUG